CCUACGGGAGGCUGCAGUGAGGAAUAUUGGUCAAUGGGCGCGAGCCUGAACCAGCCACGCCGCGUGAAGGAUGAUGGCCUUAGGGGUUGUAACUUCUUUUUAUAAAGGAAUAUAGUGAGGCACCUGUGCCCUUUUGUAUGGCCUCUAUGAUUACGGCUCGCCUAACUCCGUGCCAGCAGCCGGGGUAAUACGGAGGAUCCGAGCGUUAUCCGGAUUUAUUGGGUUUAAAGGGUGCGUAGGGGGGUUGUUAAGUCAGCUGUGAAAGAUUGCGGCUCAACCGUAGAAUUGCAAUUGAUACUGGCACUCUUGAGUACAGUUGAGGUAGGCGGAAUUCGUGGUGUAGCGGUGAAAUGCUUAGAUAUCACGAAGAACACCGAUUGCGAAGGCAGCUUACUAAACUGCCACUGACGCUGAUGCACGAAAGCGUGGGUAUCAAACAGGAUUAGAUACCCGGGUAGUC
rnacentral:rRNA from 1 species